rnacentral:misc_RNA from 1 species
GGACGUACAGCUCGGUCUCUCUAUACUUCUCUCUCGUUAGUGUCGGUGAGAGUGACUGUCAAGCUUUCACUGUUGUUGGGUUUUGUUUUAUAUUGAUUUCGGUUGGCUUCAAAAUCUUUAAUGAUGGCUAUAUUUCUCCUAUACUUCAAUUAAAGUUUGUGAUUAUAAGUGGGUUUUGUCCUGCAAUUUUGGUGCAUUAAUGAGGUCUUGAGAGUUGUAGCUUUCUUGGAGUGUGAUUUGAGCUGAGGAUUAGACCAGAAUUUGUUUUCAGUGGCUAAUUGGGCAAUGGAUUUGGAUGGAGAUGCAACAGGGACCAAAAAUGUAAAACAAA